ACUCCUACCUGUCUACAGAGCAACUCAUCCACUCAAUCUUCCUGGUCAGGCAGAGUUCCAUGCACUCCAGCUGGUCAUUGACAUAGAGGCUGACACUCCCUUCUCAUCUUCGCAUCCUGUCCUCCCUGAAGAGCCUGUAUGCCUUCAUUCCAACACUCCAGUCACAGAAGCCACCCCAUCACAUCUGCUGGAAGCCAAUAAGAUCACAGCCCUGCAGACGAACCCCAUCGGCUCCAAGUGGACCAGGUUUCUCAAAGUGAG